rnacentral:rRNA from 1 species
UACGUAGGGGGCAAGCGUUGUCCGGAUUUAUUGGGCGUAAAGAGCGUGUAGGCGGUCAGGUAGGUCCGUUGUGAAAACUCGAGGCUCAACCUCGAGACGCCGAUGGAAACCAUCUGACUAGAGUCCGGAAGAGGAGAGUGGAAUUCCUGGUGUAGAGGUGAAAUUCGUAGAUAUUCGCAAGAACACCAGUGGCGAAGGCGGCUCACUGGCCCGGUACUGACGCUGAGGUGCGAAAGCGUGGGGAGCAAACAGG